rnacentral:lncRNA from 1 species
AUUAUAUAUGGAUCCAAUUUUAAUCAAAUUGUAUCAAUGACUCCAAAUCUUAAUUCAACUAGAAGUAUUCGUCCUUGUUUGAGCCUCAUUUUUUUAAAAAUUCUUUUUUUCAAAAUUCAUUUUAAACUACACAUUUUCCAAUAAUCCACACAUGGACGGAUCAAAAUCGGGCUAAAAAAUUUCAAACAAGGGCUAACGAUACAAUUAUGUACAUUUAAGAUGGACCUAGAUUCUAGACUAAAAAAGUCAAAAGAAAAAAAAAGAAGCAUUAAUCUAGUUUAUGUUUGAAGUUUAACACUGCCAAAUUUCUUCAAGAAUAGUUCCCAAUCGUCUUGCUCAGAAACUGAAUUCANUUUUUUUUUUUAAAGACACGA